rnacentral:lncRNA from 1 species
AUCGUGGGCUGAGAUGUGGGUAAGAGGAACUGUUAGGAACUGUUGUCAGGACCAGACCUAGCCCUCAAUUAUGUGUUUCCUGCAGGAAUACCGUGCUGAGCCUUUGCCUUGAGAAUGCAGAGCUGAAAGAGCAGAUGGGAGAAGCAAUGUCUGAUGGAUGGGAGAUCGAGGAAGACAAGGAGAAGAGCGAGGUGAUGGUUGAGACUGGUAGCCAAAGAGGGUCUGAGUGAGAGUAGCCUUCAGGCUGAGUUCAGAAAGCUCCAGGGAAAACUGAAGAAUGCCCACAAUAUCAUCAACCUCCUCAAAGAACAACUUGUGCUGAGUAGCAAGGAAGGGAAUAGUAAACUUACUCCAGAGCUCCUUGUGCAUCUGACCAGCACCAUCGACGGAAUAAACACAGAACUGGUUGGUUCCCCUGGGAAGCACCAACACCAAGAGGAGGGGAAUGUGACUGUGAGGCCUUUCCCCAGACCCCAGAGCCUUGACCUUGGGGCUACCUUCACAGUGGAUGCCCACCUACAGGUGAAUCCUUGGUGAAGCAGGACAGCAAGCAGGUCCAGGUGAACCUCCAGGACCUGGGCUAUGAGACUUGUGGCUGAAGCGAGAAUCAGGCUGAACAGGAGGAAACCACCAGU